CUUGUAAUAUAUUUUCAGAUUAUCGGCGUUCCAUUGCCUUGGGAGUGGUUUCCCCGAUGUGUUUCUGAGGCUAUAGGCUCUACCUUUAAAUUUUCUUAUGACCUUGUAGGGUCCCUCCCAUGUCGGCCCAAGUUUCCCUGGUUGGUGUUCGACAGCUUCUACUUUUCUAAGGACAAAAUCGCCAGCUCUAAACCUCCUGGUCUGGACCUUGUUGUUGAAGUGCUUUGCCAUUCUGUUUUGAUAACUCCCAGCCCUAAGUGAGGCUUGCUCCCUUAUCUCUUCAAGCAAGUCAAGGUGCUCAGUAGUUUGUAUCUCUCUAUUUGUCUCGAGCUUUCUUAUUGUGGGAAGGCUAACCUCGAUUGGGAUGGUCGCCUCAAGUCCAAAAGCAAGCAUGAAUGGCGUUUCACCAGUUGCUAUCUUGUGCGAAGUCCUAUAUGCGCAUAAUAUCGAAGGCAGUAUGUUAGGCCAGUUACCUUUGGCGUCCCCUAUCCUUGUUCGGAGGUCCUGCAAUAUGAUCCGAUUAGUUACUUCGGCUUGCCCAUUGCUUUGUGGGUGUGAGACCGAGGUCAAGCGAUGAUCAAUCCCAUUGCUGGCGCAGAAGUUCCUGAAUUGGGGAUUGUCGAAUUGCCUUCCAUUAUCUGUGAUGAGGACUUUAGGUAUCCCGAACUUGUAUAUGACGGACUUCAAUAUGAAUGACCUGAGCUUCGGCUCUGAAAUUGUUGCUAGAGGUUCGGCUUCUAUCCACUUUGUGAAAUACUCCACUGUCACAGCUACAAGUUUUAAUUGUCCUCGGACCAAGGGGAAAGGCCCAAGAAUAUUAACUCCCCAUUGCUCGAAGGGAGCUGAGUAGUGAAUGGAUGUUAGUUCCUCGGCAGGAGUAUGUAUGACGUGGCCAAACUUUUGGCACUUGUCGCACUUCCGGACGUAAUCUGUGGCAUCUUUCUCCAAACUUGGCUAGUAGUAUCCAUACCUUAUCAACUUAUAUGCAAGAGCUCGGGCUCCCUUGUGAUUUCCACAAAUGCCUUCGUAAACUUCAGUCAUUGGUUGAAGAGACUCGGAAGGUUUGAGACAUCUUAGAUAGGGAAGUGUGAAACUCCUACGGAACAGGACUCCUUCGAUUAUACAAUAUCUAGCAGCUCUAUACCGAAUGCUUUUGGCAAGCCGAGGGUCUACAGGAAUGUUGCCAUUACUUAUGUAAUCAACUAUUGGAUCCAUCCAGGAGGGUUCAUGGUCGAUGUCCAUGACACUUGGCUUCUGAGCUAUACUUGGUUCUGCAACCAUCUUGAUGUGCACGGUUCUAUCGAGCCCAUCCAUACCCAUGAAGAUGAGUCUGGAUAAUGCAUCAGCCUUGGCAUUUUCGGCUCUGGCUACCUUCAGAAUUUCACAACUUACGAACUGCCUCUGGAGGUCAUGUACUUUCAAACAAUAUAAGCUCAUUUUUUCAUCCUUUCUUUCGAAAGACCCCUCGAUUUGUUAGACCACUAGCUGUGAGUCACUGAAAACUUUAACGCGCUCGCACUCAAGAUUUUUCCCGAGUUCCAGGGCUAUAACAAUGGCUUUGUACUCUGCUUCGUUAUUGGUAGCUUCGAAUUCAAAUCUGAGAACGUAUUGUAUAUCGUAGUCUUGUCCGGACUUGUGCCCGAGCUAUUGGAUGCUCCAUCAACAAAAAUCUCCCAUAUUUCUAAGGUCGAGUUCGAGCCCUUGGCCGGUGUUUCUAAGGAUCUCGGAGUAAGCUCUGCUAUGAAGUCGACUAAAGCUUGGGCCUUGAUUGCAGGUCGUGGCUUGAACUCUAUGUCAAAUUUGCCGAGUUCAAUUGCCCAUUUCAGUAGCCGUCCUGAGACGUCCGGCUUCUAAAGUAUAUGUCUGAGAAGUUGGUUGGUGAGCACAACAAUUGGAUAUGAUUGGAAGUAUGGCCGUAAUUUUCUAGCAACUAUUACUAAAGCAAGGGCGAGCUGUUCCGCAAGCAUGUAUUGUGUUUCUGCAUCGAGGAGCACUUUACUUACAUAGUAAACAGGUUGCUGAACUCUUCCUUUUUCCUUUACCAAGACACCGCUUACUGCGUUCUAAGAAACGACCAAGUAUAAUAGCAGCGUGUCACCGGGUUCGGGUUUAGUAAGGACUGGAGGCGUUGAUAAUGUCUACUUGAGCUCCUGAAAAGCUAAGUUGCAUUCCUCAUUACAGUCGAACCCUUUAUUUCCCUUAAGUACUUUGAAAAAGGGGAAUCACUUGUCUGCUGCCCGGGAAACAAACCUAUUCAGUGCUGCUACGCGACCUGUCAACUUCUGAAUGUCCCUUUUGCACUUAGGGGCCUCCAUACUUAUCAGAGCUUGGAUUUUAUCAGGAUUUGCCUCUAUUCCUCUGUGCGUGAUCAUAAAACCCAAGAAUUUUUCAGAUGCCAUCCCAAACGCACACUUUGCCGGGUUGAGCUUCAUGUUGUACCUCCGUAACAUAACAAACACUUCCUCUAGAUCAGAAACAUGGCUAUUCAACCGUUUGCUCUUAACCACCAUAUCAUCCACAUAUGCUUCGACCGUUUUCCCAAUUAGCUUGGCGAAGAUCUUGUUCACUAACCUUUGAUAUGUUGCUCCAGCAUUCUUCAGUCCAAAGGGCAUGACCCUGUAGUAGUAGAUGGUUGAAUCUGCCAUGAACGAGGUCUUCUCUUGAUCUUCUUCUGCCAUGAGAAUUUGGUGAUACCCCGAAAAAGCAUCCAAGAAGCUGUAAAGCAUAUGACCUGACGUGCUAUCUUCCAUAUUGUCAAUUCGAGGUAAGGGAUAACUGUCUUUGGGGCAUGCUUUAUUCAGAUCUGUGAAGUCAAUGCAAACUCGUCACUUUCCAUUAGCUUUCUUGACAAGAACCACGUUGGCAAGCCAUUCGGGAUAUUGUACUUCUCGAACGAACUGUACGUUAACAAGUUUGGCAAUCUCCUCUUUUAUGAUUUCUCGUAUUUCUGGUGCAAACUGCCUCUUCCUUUGCUUCACAGGUCUUGCUUCCGAGUUUACGUUAAGUCUAUGUACUGCAACCUCUGGAUCAAUUCCAGGCAUGUCCUCAACAUUCCAAGCGAAUACAUCAAUGUUGCGGGAGAGACAACUUAGAAGUUCAGACAUGACCGCUGUAUCUAACCCCCGACCAAUUGUGACUUUUCUUCUAGGCUCG
rnacentral:lncRNA from 1 species